rnacentral:rRNA from 1 species
AUUGAACGCUGGCGGCAGGCUUAACACAUGCAAGUCGAACGAGUGGCGGACGGGUGAGUAAUGCUUGGGAAUCUAGCUUAUGGAGGGGGAUAACUACGGGAAACUGUAGCUAAUAACGCGUACCAUAGGAUGAGCCCAAGUUGGAUUAGCUAGUAGGUGGGGUAACGGAUCACCGAGGCGAAGAUCCCUAGCUGGUCGGAGAGGAUGACCAGCCACACUGGAACUGUGACACGGUCCAGACUCCUACGGGAGGCAGCAGUGGGGAAUAUUGCACAAUGGGCGCAAGCCUGAUGCAGCCAUGCCGCGUGUAUGAAGAAGGCCUUCGGGUUGUAAAGUACUUUCAGCGAGGAGGCGUUACUCGCAGAAGAAGCACCGGCUAACUCCGUGCCAGCAGCCGCGGUAAUAC